CCCUUGUGGACGUAUGUUGUAGCGUUGUCCGACUAACUCACCCCUUGUGGACGUAUGUUGUCCGACUAACUCACCCCUUGUGGACGUAUGUUUUAGCGUUGUCAGACUAACUCACCCCUUGUGGACGUGUGUUGUAGCGUUGUCAGACUAACUCACCCCUUGUGGACGUGCUUUGUCUGACUAACUCACCCCUUGUGGACGUAUGUUGUAGCGUUGUCCGACUAACUCACCCCUUGUGGACGUAUGUUGUCCGACAAACUCAACCCUUGUGGACGUAUGUUGUAGCGUUGUCCGACUAACUCACCCCUUCUGGACGUAUAUUGUAGCGUUGUCCGACUAACUCACCCCUUGUGGACUUAUGUUGUAGCGUUGUCCGACUAACUCACCCCUUGUGGAGGUGUGUUGUCCGACUAACUCACCCCUUGUGGGCGUAUGUUGUAGCGUUGUCCGACUAACUCACCCCUUGUGGACGUAUGUUGUAGCAUUGUCCGACUAACUCACCCCUUGUGGAGGUGCGUUGUCCGACUAACUCACCCCUUGUGGACGUGUGUUGUAGCGUUGUCCGACUAACUCACCCCUUGUGGACGUAUGUUGUAGCGUUGUCAGACUAACUCACCCCUUGUGGACCUGUGUUGUAGCGUUGUCCGACUAACUCACCCCUUGUGGACGUGCGUUGUCCGACUAACUCGCCCCUUGUGGACGUGCGUUGUCCGACUAACUCGCCCCUUGUGGACGUGCGUUGUCCGACUAACUCGCCCCUUGUGGACGUAUGUUGUAGCGUUGUCCGACUAACUCACCAUUUGUGGGCGUAUGUUGUAGCGUUGUCCGACUAACACACCCCUCGUGGACGUAUGUUGUAGCAUUGUCCGACUAACACACCCCUCGUGGACGUAUGUUGUAGCAUUGUCCGACUAACUCACCCCUUGUGGACGUGCGUUGUCCGAAUAACUCACCCCUUGUGGACGUAUAUUGUAGCGUUGUCCGACUAACUCACCCCUUGUGGACGUAUGUUGUAGCGUUGUCCGACUAACUCACCCCUUGUGGACGUAUGUUGUAGCGUUGUCCGACUAACUCACCCCUUCUGGACGUGCGUUGUCCGACUAACUCACCCCUUGUGGACGUAUAUUGUAGCGUUGUCCGACUAACUCACCCCUUGUGGACGUAUGUUGUAGCGUUGUCCGACUAACUCACCCCUUGUGGACGUGCGUUGUCCGACUAACUCACCCCUUGUGGACGUAUGUUGUAGCGUUGUCCGACUAACUCGCCCCUUGUGGACGUGCAUUGUCCGACUAACUCGCCCCUUGUGGACGUGCGUUGUCCGACUAACUCGCCCCUUGUGGACGUGCGUUGUCCGACUAACUCGCCCCUUGUGGACGUGCGUUGUCCGACAAACUCGCCCCUUGUGGACGUGCGUUGUCCGACAAACUCGCCCCUUGUGGACGUGCGUUGUC
rnacentral:lncRNA from 1 species